rnacentral:lncRNA from 1 species
UUGAGGGUUUCUUAAGUUUUGUGGUGUGUAUAUAAGUGAAUUUUGGACAAUGUGUUGGUAUUUUAGUUGUUAUUAUGUAUGAAGAUUUUGAGGUCAAUUGGUAAUUAAAUCAAAGUGUAUGAAGGUUUUUGUAGGUUGAAAUUUCAGAAAUUAGAAUGUGAGGCUUAGUAAAUAUUUUAAGAUCUUUAACAAUUUGUUGACUAGAUUGAAGCAUUUUUUUUUUUUUUUUUUUUUUUUUUUAUGUAAGUAAUUUUUUUUUUUUUAAAUAGACUAAAUUUUUUAUAGUUUAAGUAUAUUUAAGAGGCAAUUAAAUGGUUCAAGAAAGAGAUAUUAGUACUAAAAUUUCAAUAUUUAGAUUGGAGUAGGAAGCCAACCAAUACCUGAGCAAAAUUUAGGAUUGAUUUUCUAUUUUAUAAGUUUGAUCUUCUUC